rnacentral:rRNA from 1 species
UGCCUUCGGGAGCGCAGUGACAGGUGCUGCAUGGCCGUCGUCAGCUCGUGUCGUGAGAUGUUGGGUUAAGUCCCGUAACGAGCGCAACCCUUGUCCUUAGUUGCCAGCGGUCCGGCCGGGAACUCUAGGGAGACUGCCGGUGACAAACCGGAGGAAGGUGGGGAUGACGUCAGGUCAUCAUGGCCCUUACGGCCAGGGCUACACACGUGCUACAAUGGGGCGCACAGAGGGCAGCAAGCGCGCGAGUGCAAGCGAAUCCCUUAAAACGCCUCGUAGUCCGGAUCGGAGUCUGCAACUCGACUCCGUGAAGUCGGAAUCGCUAGUAAUCGCAGAUCAGAAUGCUGCGGUGAAUACGUUCCCGGGCCUUGUACACACCGCCCGUCACA